AUCUGUGGUACUCUUUCUUUGUAAUGCUCAGAGUUUACGGACUAAAGCGCUCGUUGCAUUUUUUUUACCUUUUGUUUACAGUACAUUUAUGAACUUCGCUUGAAUGGAUUGAUGUAACACUUAUUUUUUAUUGUCUAACAUUUUUGUGGCAAUAAUCAAACUGGCGAGUGUUAAAGAAUCUGCGUUUGUUGCAAAGAAUUGGUUGGCACUUAAAAGUAUUCGAUGAUGAAGUGGUCAGUAAGUUCUUCUAUAUGCUGAUCGUCGGUAUGGAGCAGUGGCCGAAAUAUUUUUUGGCCGUUAACUGAUCUCUGAUCUCCGAAUAGCUGGCUAUUGGCUACGCAUAAAGAUUGUGCCUUAUUGAACGGGCAGCCAAGUGAUUAGAAUUGGCAGCCAAGUGACCUUUCGGGCUAAUCAUCGCUUCAGCCGCGUUGUACCACUAUCCACAAAGAUUCUGCUGGCUACUUGUGCAAAUUUUGCCGGACCGAUGCGGCCGUGUAUGCAGGAAGAUGUGGGAGGAAAUGGCGGCGGCUGAAGCACGAAAAAGAAACGGUAGUUCGA